GAUGAACGCUAGCGGCAGGCCUAAUACAUGCAAGUCGAGGGGUAGAGAAGGCUUGCUUUCUUGAGACCGGCGCACGGGUGCGUAACGCGUAUGCAACCUACCUUUAUCUGGGGGAUAGCCCGGAGAAAUCCGGAUUAAUACCGCAUAAAAUCACAGAAUAGCAUUAUUUAAUGAUCAAACAUUUAUGGGAUGAAGAUGGGCAUGCGUGUCAUUAGCUAGUUGGCGGGGUAACGGCCCACCAAGGCGACGAUGACUAGGGGAUCUGAGAGGAUGGCCCCCCACACUGGUACUGAGACACGGACCAGACUCCUACGGGAGGCAGCAGUAAGGAAUAUUGGUCAAUGGAGGCAACUCUGAACCAGCCAUGCCGCGUGCAGGAUGACUGCCCUAUGGGUUGUAAACUGCUUUUAUCCGGGAAUAAACCUACUUACGUGUAAGUAGCUGAACGUACCGGAGGAAUAAGGAUCGGCUAACUCCGUGCCAGCAGCCGCGGUAAUACGGAGGAUCCAAGCGUUAUCCGGAUUUAUUGGGUUUAAAGGGUGCGUAGGCGGCCUGUUAAGUCAGGGGUGAAAGACGGUAGCUCAACUAUCGCAGCGCCCUUGAUACUGAUGGGCUUGAAUGGACUAGAGGUAGGCGGAAUGAGACAAGUAGCGGUGAAAUGCAUAGAUAUGUCUCAGAACACCGAUUGCGAAGGCAGCUUACUAUGGUCUUAUUGACGCUGAGGCACGAAAGCGUGGGGAUCAAACAGGAUUAGAUACCCUGGUAGUCCACGCCCUAAACGAUGAACACUCGCUGUUGGCGAUACACAGUCAGCGGCUAAGCGAAAGCGUUAAGUGUUCCACCUGGGGAGUACGCCCGCAAGGGUGAAACUCAAAGGAAUUGACGGGGGCCCGCACAAGCGGAGGAGCAUGUGGUUUAAUUCGAUGAUACGCGAGGAACCUUACCCGGGCUUGAAAGUUAGUGAAUUAUCCAGAGAUGGAUAAGUGAGCAAUCACACGAAACUAGGUGCUGCAUGGCUGUCGUCAGCUCGUGCCGUGAGGUGUUGGGUUAAGUCCCGCAACGAGCGCAACCCCUAUGUUUAGUUGCCAGCACGUUAAGGUGGGGACUCUAAACAGACUGCCUGUGCAAACAGAGAGGAAGGAGGGGACGACGUCAAGUCAUCAUGGCCCUUACGUCCGGGGCUACACACGUGCUACAAUGGAUGGUACAGAGGGCAGCUACAUAGCAAUAUGAUGCGAAUCUCACAAAGCCAUUCACAGUUCGGAUUGGGGUCUGCAACUCGACCCCAUGAAGUUGGAUUCGCUAGUAAUCGCGUAUCAGCAAUGACGCGGUGAAUACGUUCCCGGGCCU
rnacentral:rRNA from 1 species